AGUUUACAGUCCCUGGUCACAGGAUUAUCAACAUUCUCCCAUCAUCCACAGAUUGUCUCUCCCCUUUCACCCACCAUUCCAUCUUCAAUUUUAAAUCUACCAUCAACUUCUGCCUCUGUCUCAUAUAAUAUUUCACCACAAACACCUGCACCAUUUGGUCAUCAAACCAAUGAAGAAACCAUAGUGGAAGGCAUACCCACCUCUUCAUCCCCUCAGCUACGUUUUGAUGGUACAGAAGCCAAUGUGGUACGACUUGUAGAAAACCGCCCAAUUUUCAUUUUAAAGUCAACUAAAGAUUGCCUAAUUGAAUAUUCGAAAACACCAACAAGUACAGCGAGGUCAGCCCUUAAAGCAAUAUUUACUUCUGAAGCACUAUUAAGCUGCUCUGUGAAGGGAAAUAUUGCCAAAGGCCCACUUGGCAAACCCAACGUUAAGAGACAGGCACUGUUACCUGAUGCCAUUUCAGCAAUCAUUGAAUUCUGUAAAAAACUUGCUGAGAAGAAUGGCUGGAAUCCUAUUUUAGAAAAAAAAUUGGUGUCAGCGAUGGGCACUAAACUUAGUGAGAUGAGGGCAGCAACAGCAAAAAAAUGAAAGUGAAUAAAGGGAAUUCAGCCACUGGGAAUUAUAUAAAAGGUGGGGGAAGUAACCGGUUCCUUCAUUCAGUCCCCUUCCAUCGCAGCGCAGCCAUCUUUGCUUCUAGCUCCUCCUCUGAAUAUAAAAGACUGAAUAUACAACUAGCUACAUCACUGGACUGGAGAAUAUAGCGGUUGAUAACAAAUUUGGUGUUAAAAAGUUGUGAUAACCAGCAUAUGAAACAACUAUAAUAAAAGAGGACAAGAGACUGUUUGGAGUACCAAGGAUAUGAUGGGUUGAUGAUGUUACAAAAUAUCUAAGAAUUGGUGCAGACUCAGAGCUGGUAUAAGACAGAUGAUGGUUCUGGAGGUUUUCAUUUGUCAUAAAAAUAACAUUCCAUUGGUUUGAUUUCAACACUUUUAUAGGUGGAACUGACAUUCUACAUGUCUUUAUCAGAGAAGGAAAAGUGAGCAUGAACCCAAAUAAGUAAACAAGAAACAAGAAAGGACCAUAGAAUAUAUGACUAAGGUUACAAAAUGAAGUUGUACAAUUAAACACUUAUAAUAACA